UACGUAGGGUGCAAGCGUUGUCCGGAAUUAUUGGGCGUAAAGAGCUCGUAGGCGGUUGGUUAGUCAGGUGUGAAAUCUCCACGCUCAACGUGGAGGGGCCACCUGAUACUGCCAUGACUUGAGUCCGGUAGGGGAGUGUGGGAAUUCCCGGUGUAGCGGUGAAAUGACGCAGAUAUCGGGAGGAACACCCGUAGCGAAGGCGGCACUCUGGGCCGUGACGUGACGCUGAGGAGCGAAAGCGUGGGAGCAAACAGGG
rnacentral:rRNA from 1 species